rnacentral:tRNA from 2 species
GGGCCAUUAGCUCAUCCGGUAGAGCGACUGACUCUUAAUCAGUAGGUGGCAGGUUCGAGUCCUGCAUGGCCCA